GUCAGCUGUGCCUUUAGACCAGAACUUGCUUCCAUGAUGGGAACACACCACAUCUGAACCAUCCGGCGCCUGGAAUGAGGCACUCCAAGGCUUGGGGGUGGCUUCCAGACGGGGGUCAGGGGCUCGGCCCCUCCUAUAGGUUAUUCCACAUCCUCAGUACCGACUCCUUCCUCAUGGUCCAGAAUGGCUGCUCCAGCCCAGGCCUCGGGUCACAUUCCAGCUGGCAACAAGGAGGAAGAAAGGCAAGGGGAGCCAGGCCUCUCCUUCUAAGGACACGGCCCUGCCUGCGACUUUGAAGCCCCUGCAGCGCAAGGAAAUGGUCCCCAAGGCCUGGACGGACGUGGAGCGGAGGGAGACCGGAGGUCAGGGAGCCGCCAGGGACAGGCCUGCAGCCCUCCUGCAGCUGAGGGCGCAGUCACAGACACUGCCAUCCUCUGCACCCGGCUCCGGGUGAGCCGAUUCCCGGGCAAUGUUUCUCUUUCAAGGAUGUUUCUCUCUCCCCCUUCUCUCUCUCUCUC